UACGAAGGGGGCUAGCGUUGCUCGGAAUUACUGGGCGUAAAGCGCACGUAGGCGGCUUCUUAAGUCAGGGGUGAAAUCCUGGAGCUCAACUCCAGAACUGCCUUUGAUACUGGCGAUCUUGAGUCCGGGAGAGGUGAGUGGAACUGCGAGUGUAGAGGUGAAAUUCGUAGAUAUUCGCAAGAACACCAGUGGCGAAGGCGGCUCACUGGCCCGGUACUGACGCUGAGGAGCGAAAGCGUGGGGAGCGAACAGG
rnacentral:rRNA from 1 species